rnacentral:tRNA from 2 species
AGCCCUGUGGUUCAGUGGUUAGAAUGCCCGCAGGUAUUGCGGGAGGCCGGGGUUCAAACCCUCGCUGGGCUA